rnacentral:rRNA from 1 species
AUAAGCGAGGAAAAGAAACUAACAAGGAUUCCCCUAGUAACUGCGAGUGAAGCGGGAAAAGCUCAAAUUUAAAAUCUGGCGGUCUUUGGCCGUCCGAGUUGUAAUUUAGAGAAGCGUCUUCCGCGCCGGACCGUGCACAAGUCUCCUGGAAUGGAGCGUCAUAGAGGGUGAGAAUCCCGUCUUUGGCACGGAUGCCCGGUGCUUCUGUGAUGCGCUCUCGAAGAGUCGAGUUGUUUGGGAAUGCAGCUCAAAAUGGGUGGUGAACUCCAUCUAAAGCUAAAUAUUGGCGAGAGACCGAUAGCGAACAAGUACCGUGAGGGAAAGAUGAAAAGCACUUUGGAAAGAGAGUGAAACAGUACGUGAAAUUGUUGAAAGGGAAACGCUUGAAGUCAGUCGCGUCGACCGAGACUCAGCCUUGCCUUGGCUUGGUGUACUUCUCGGCCCGACGGGUCAGCGUCAAUUUUGCCCCUCGGAUAAUGGCAAGGGAAAGGUGGCACCUUUACGGGUGUGUUAUAGUCUCCUGUCGCAUGCGAGGGGUGGGAUUGAGGAACUCAGCGCGCACCUUGGUGUCGGGGCUUCUGCCCACGUCACGCGCUUAGGAUGCUGGCGUAAUGGCUUUAAACGACCCGUCUUGAAACACGGACCAAGGAGUCCAACACGCCCGCGAGUGUUCGGGUGGAAAACCCGUGCGCGUAAUUAAAGUGAAAGUUGGGACCUCUGUCGUGGAGGGCACCGACGCCCGGACCAGACCUUCUGUGACGGAUCUGCGGUAGAGCGUGUGUGUUGGGACCCGAAAGAUGGUGAACUAUGCCUGAAUAGGGUGAAGCCAGAGGAAACUCUGGUGGAGGCUCGUAGCGAUUCUGACGUGCAAAUCGAUCGUCAAAUUUGGGUAUAGGGGCGAAAGACUAAUCGAACCAUCUAGUAGCUGGUUCCU